rnacentral:rRNA from 1 species
GCUAUAAUGCAAGUCGAGCGGACAGAUGGGAGCUUGCUCCCUGAUGUUAGCGGCGGACGGGUGAGUAACACGUGGGUAACCUGCCUGUAAGACUGGGAUAACUCCGGGAAACCGGGGCUAAUACCGGAUGGUUGUUUGAACCGCAUGGUUCAGACAUAAAAGGUGGCUUCGGCUACCACUUACAGAUGGACCCGCGGCGCAUUAGCUAGUUGGUGAGGUAACGGCUCACCAAGGCGACGAUGCGUAGCCGACCUGAGAGGGUGAUCGGCCACACUGGGACUGAGACACGGCCCAGACUCCUACGGGAGGCAGCAGUAGGGAAUCUUCCGCAAUGGACGAAAGUCUGACGGAGCAACGCCGCGUGAGUGAUGAAGGUUUUCGGAUCGUAAAGCUCUGUUGUUAGGGAAGAACAAGUGCCGUUCAAAUAGGGCGGCACCUUGACGGUACCUAACCAGAAAGCCACGGCUAACUACGUGCCAGCAGCCGCGGUAAUACGUAGGUGGCAAGCGUUGUCCGGAAUUAUUGGGCGUAAAGGGCUCGCAGGCGGUUUCUUAAGUCUGAUGUGAAAGCCCCCGGCUCAACCGGGGAGGGUCAUUGGAAACUGGGGAACUUGAGUGCAGAAGAGGAGAGUGGAAUUCCACGUGUAGCGGUGAAAUGCGUAGAGAUGUGGAGGAACACCAGUGGCGAAGGCGACUCUCUGGUCUGUAACUGACGCUGAGGAGCGAAAGCGUGGGGGAGCGAACAGGAUUAGAUACCCUGGUAGUCCACGCCGUAAACGAUGAGUGCU